rnacentral:lncRNA from 1 species
UGUUAGGAUUAUGAUUCCAACUAAAUAUAACAACCUUCAUAUUGAAUAAUCCGGAAUUAAACUACAUGAGCGGAAGCUAACCUGAAUCCAUAUGUGGAAAUUGUUGAACCUCCUUUUGAUGAUUGUCCGUAUGUCUCUAUGAAGUUUGCUCCUUAGCCUUCCUUCAAGAAUGUCUUGAAGUUGUAUAUGUAUCCACAAAUAUGCAAGAAACAAACCUUAAACAAUAUGUUUAUUCACAAUAAUAAUGUUGUGACAAUGAUCAAAUAGGUAUAUGGUUUUCCACACUAUUUGAAAGACAACAAUGGAGUAUUUUGGCUCUUGAUUCAAU